AGGGGUGAGCCACCGGUUAGGCGGCUGGUCUCCAAAACCAGCGGAAAGCAGGUUCGACUCCUGCCACCCCUGCCG
rnacentral:tRNA from 1 species